rnacentral:rRNA from 1 species
CCUGCUAAAUAGUGCUGCUAGCUUUUGCUGGUAUAGUCACUUCUUAGAGGGACUAUCGAUUUCAAGUCGAUGGAAGUUUGAGGCAAUAACAGGUCUGUGAUGCCCUUAGACGUUCUGGGCCGCACGCGCGCUACACUGACGGAGCCAGCGAGUUCUAACCUUGGCCGAGAGGUCUG